GACGAACGCUGGCGGCGUGCUUAACACAUGCAAGUCGAACGGAAAGGCCCCUUUGGGGGUACUCGAGUGGCGAACGGGUGAGUAACACGUGAGUAACCUGCCCUUGACUUCGGGAUAACUUCAGGAAACUGGGGCUAAUACCGGAUAGGAAUCCUUGCUGCAUGGUGGGGGUUGGAAAGCUUCGGCGGUUUUGGAUGGACUCGCGGCUUAUCAGCUUGUUGGUGGGGUAGUGGCUUACCAAGGCUUUGACGGGUAGCCGGCCUGAGAGGGCGACCGGCCACAUUGGGACUGAGAUACGGCCCAGACUCCUACGGGAGGCAGCAGUGGGGAAUAUUGCACAAGGGGCGGAAGCCUGAUGCAGCAACGCCGCGGGCGGGAUGACGGCCUUCGGGUUGUAAACCGCGUUCAGCAGGGGCGAAGCUUGUGGUGACGGUACCUGCAGAAGAAGCACCGGCUAACUACGUG
rnacentral:rRNA from 1 species